CUGACAAGUGGGUAACCACCGUCUUCUGUCAAUGCUGAACUUCCACAUAUUUCUACAGCUCUGAAGAACAGCCUUCACAGACCUGAAAUUUAGACCUGAUAAUUCUUCUCCAUGGGGGAGGCUCUCACGAAAGGAAAAGAUCCAUGCUUAGCCCAAGCUACCACAUACCAAGAAAUGAAAUACAAGGAAAAAAAUACAAUCGCAGGAGCUAAACACAAUCCCACACAUCCUGGUGUGCAUAUUAGAGAGGACACAGCAGAAGAGGUCUGCUAACCCAUGAACCCCUGUACACUACUGCCUGGUACAGCAACACCUGCUACAGACUUGGCAUCGUGCUCUGAGUUGCCCUGAGAAUCAUUACAGACUAAGUAGGGCUUCUUGUCUGGGAGAAGGCACAGACGAGUUCACUACAGCAGCAGCUUUCUGAAGUACUUGGCACUGCCUUAACUGCAGCACUCCAUGGACUUAAAAGAGAGCCAAGUAAGGACAACACUUGCUUUCAAGAUCUUCAUCAAACACACUCAUGCUUCCAUUUCUACAGUUAGAAAGCAGAGCACUCAGUGUAUUCCCAGAUAACUCCCAAGAAGUAUUUAGUAGGAUAUCAUGUAGUAUAUAAACAUAUAUAAACCUACUUUGCUGUUCUGACAUCAAUAGAACCCUUUAACUUUUCUUCACUGUCAUUUUCGAAGUACAUCAACCUGGACUGCCUGAGAACAAACCAUCGUUUCUUCCAGUUCCUUCUGGAAAGAGUGGAUGAUCCGCCCCCCUUUUUGUGAAGCCAACCCUGCUUGAGUGCUUCCUGCUUGGAGCGAAACCACAGGAAGGUCUCAUCUUUCAGGACACACCAGCGUCGUUUCCAUGUGUUUAUUAAGCCACCUGGCAAAAAGGAAUAGACAUGGGUUCAUGCAUAGUUAAGACAAACAAUUACAUUAUAAAAGAGAAGUUGUGACCAACCAACACUAGGAGAUGCUGGCCAACGUACUGCAGUUAAGUCUCUGCUGCAAGACAUGAAAUGAAAGAUCUAAUUCUUGCAUA